CGAACUUCUUUAUCACCGAGUGCUUGCACUCACCGGUAAAGGGUUGAGUGGCGAACGGGUGAGUAACACGUGGGCAACCUGCCCAAAAGAGGGGGAUAACACUUGGAGACAGGUGCUAAUACCGCAUAACCAUAGUUACCGCAUGGUAGCUAUGUAAAAGGUGGCUAUGCUACCGCUUUUGGAUGGGCCCGCGGCGCAUUAGCUAGUUGGUGGGGUAAAGGCUUACCAAGGCAAUGAUGCGUAGCCGAACUGAGAGGUUGAUCGGCCACAUUGGGACUGAGACACGGCCCAAACUCCUACGGGAGGCAGCAGUAGGGAAUCUUCCACAAUGGGCGAAAGCCUGAUGGAGCAACGCCGCGUGGGUGAAGAAGGUCUUCGGAUCGUAAAACCCUGUUGUUAGAGAAGAAAGUGCGUGAGAGUAACUGUUCACGUUUCGACGGUAUCUAACCAGAAAGCCACGGCUAACUACGUGCCAGCAGCCGCGGUAAUACGUAGGUGGCAAGCGUUAUCCGGAUUUAUUGGGCGUAAAGGGAACGCAGGCGGUCUUUUAAGUCUGAUGUGAAAGCCUUCGGCUUAACCGGAGUAGUGCAUUGGAAACUGGGAGACUUGAGUGCAGAAGAGGAGAGUGGAACUCCAUGUGUAGCGGUGAAAUGCGUAGAUAUAUGGAAGAACACCAGUGGCGAAAGCGGCUCUCUGGUCUGUAACUGAC
rnacentral:rRNA from 1 species